UACAGAGGUGGCAAGCGUUGUUCGGAAUUACUGGGCGUAAAGGGCGCGUAGGUGGCCAUCUAAGUCAGAUGUGAAAUCCCCCGGCUUAACCUGGGAACUGCGUCUGAUACUGGACGGCUUGAGUAUGGGAGAGGAAUGUAGAAUUCCAGGUGUAGCGGUGAAAUGCGUAGAUAUCUGGAGGAAUACCGGUGGCGAAGGCGGCAUUCUGGACCAUUACUGACACUGAAUCGCGAAAGCUAGGGGAGCAAACGGG
rnacentral:rRNA from 1 species